UACGUAGGGUGCAAGCGUUGUCCGGAAUUAUUGGGCGUAAAGAGCUCGUAGGCGGUUUGUCGCGUCUGCUGUGAAAACUGGAGGCUCAACCUCCAGCCUGCAGUGGGUACGGGCAGACUAGAGUGCGGUAGGGGAGAUUGGAAUUCCUGGUGUAGCGGUGGAAUGCGCAGAUAUCAGGAGGAACACCGAUGGCGAAGGCAGAUCUCUGGGCCGUAACUGACGCUGAGGAGCGAAAGCAUGGGUAGCAAACAGG
rnacentral:rRNA from 1 species